rnacentral:rRNA from 1 species
UACAGAGGUGCCGAGCGUUAGGCGGAAUCACUGGGCUUAAAGCGUGUGUAGGCGGACUUCUAAGUACCUUGUGAAAUCCCACGGCUCACCCGUGGAACUGCUGGGUAUACUGGUCGUCUUGAGCCACCUAGGGGCGAGCGGAACAAAUGGUGGAGCGGUGAAAUGCGUAGAGAUCGGUAGGAACACCAGUGGCGAAGGCGGUCUCCUGGAGCAUACUUGACGCUGAGGCGCGAAAGCUGGGGGAGCGAACGGG